rnacentral:tRNA from 1 species
GGUCUCGUAGCUCAGCUUUUAGAGCGUGCGCUGUACAAAAGCGUAGGCGGCGUCCAUGCGUGGGGUCAAAUCCCACCUAGGCUA